AGGACGAACGCUGGCGGCGUGCUUAACACAUGCAAGUGGAGCGACGAACCAGGGCUUGCCCUGGGGCAGAGCCGCGAACGGGUGAGUAACACGUGGGUUACCUGCCUCGAUGACCGGGACAACCCGAGGAAACUCGGGCUAAUACCGGAUGUGCCCGCAAGGGGAAAGGAAGCUUCGGCCUCCGCAUCGAGAUGGGCCCGCGGCCCAUUAGCUUGUUGGUGAGGUAAAGGCUCACCAAGGCUUCGAUGGGUAGCUGGUCUGAGAGGACGAUCAGCCACACUGGGACUGAGACACGGCCCAGACUCCUACGGGAGGCAGCAGUGGGGAAUCUUGCGCAAUGCGCGAAAGCGUGACGCAGCAACGCCGCGUGGGGGAAGAAGGCUUUCGGGUUGUAAACCCCUUUCAGUUGGGACGAAGCUCCGCCGGUGAAUAGCCGGACGGAGUGACGGUACCUUCACAAGAAGCACCGGCUAACUACGUGCCAGCAGCCGC
rnacentral:rRNA from 1 species